UACGUAGGGACCAAGCGUUGUCCGGAUUUAUUGGGCGUAAAGAGCUCGUAGGCGGCCCUCCACGUCGGAUGUGAAAGCUCAGGGCUCAACCCUGGGAUGCCAUUCGAUACGGGAAGGCUAGAGGUAGGCAGGGGAAAGUGGAAUUCCUGGUGUAGCGGUGAAAUGCGCAGAUAUCAGGAGGAACACCGGUGGCGAAGGCGGGUCUCUGGGCCGAUACUGACGCUGAGGAGCGAAAGCGUGGGGAGCGAACAGG
rnacentral:rRNA from 1 species